AUUCUACUCCCUCCGUUGCACAAUACAUGCCUUCUAUUUGUCAAAAUAUAUAUGUAUCUAGACAUGUCUUAGUAUAGGUACAUCCAUUUUUGGAAAAAUGGAAGUCAAUUUUGGAACGGAGGGAGUACACA
rnacentral:pre_miRNA from 1 species